GAGCGUCGUUGUAUGGAAGACUAGUGAUUUUGUUGUUCUACUUAAGAUGUAACAAGGAAUCACUAAUCAUCCUACAAAGACGCUCG
rnacentral:pre_miRNA from 1 species